AGCCUUUAGACCUAGACAGAUGAUUUAACCCAUGAUCAGGUCUAAAUAUCAAUAUGCCUUAAAUAAUAUAAAGUACUUUCAAAGAUUGGGACUGAAGGUGAACCUUUGUUUCCGCCGAUCGUCUUCGUCUCCACCGAAUAGAAGUGAAGAGUGAAAGAAUGAUAGAUGAAAGUGAUUAGGGAAAGAAUGACAGAGCACACAAAUGAAAAAAAGAUUUGAUCUUGUGUGACAACAACCACAGGGAAAAUACGAAUAAAAUUGGUAUAUUUAAAGUGAACCAUAUUAAAUUAGGUUAAAAAACCUUAUCAUCAAUUUUUUUUUUUGAAAGAAGUUAUCAUCAA
rnacentral:lncRNA from 1 species